CCGUCCAGCACCUUGGCGCCCUCCUCCUCAUGAGCGACGGAACCCUCCUCGUCGUCUCCUCCGGCUUAUCGGACGCCGGGGAAUUUGUCUGUUGCGCGGCCGCCAGGAGGCGAGGGUGCCAUCCUACACCGCGGCACCCUCCGCCGUCAUGUCUCUCCUAGCACGGUGACCAGGCGAUGCCCAUGGGCGACGGGACCCUCCUGCUCGUCUUCUACGGGCGCUGCGGUUGCCGGGAAUUCUAGGCCGGAGGCCGUCAUGCACUAUUUUUUGCUAUCGCUGCUAUGUGUCGCUACUGUCAGGUAGUGAGACGCCUGCAGGUAUUCAGGUGUCUUCCUGUUCUCCUUCUUCUCUUCAUUUUUUUUUGUGAAAGGGGCUAUGUUAGGUGCAAAUGAUGGCAAUUUUUGGUUGAUGCUCAUAUUCAUUUAUAGUCUAUUUUAGGUGCAGAUGGUGACAGAGCUAUUUAGGUGCAGAAGAUGGCAAAUUUGAGUAGAACUUGACAUUUUUUGUGCAGAACAUAGCAAAUUAUCAAACAACUUUUAUUAGAUUUUCCAUUCCUACUAUUUAGUGUACUUAGAUUCUUGACUCACUUGAGUUGAUGUUGAGUAGAACAUCGCAAUUCUGUUAAAAAUAUCAUAGGUGGCAAAUUGAGUACAAUGUGACAUUUAUUUUCAUUCUCUACAAUGGAUCAUGGCAAUCCACACACCAUGGCAAUUUUUUCUCUUUUUUUGCCAUGGCAAAUUUGACACUAUUAUUGCCAUGGCAUUUUCACUUUUAAUGACAUGGCAAAUUUUAAUUUAUUUUGCCAUGGUCCAUGUGAUAUAUUUGCCAUGUCAAUAUAGUUAAGUUUGCCAUGGCAAGUUCCACGUGUUUUUUGCCAUGGCAAAUUAAGAUGUGUUAUUACGGGGUGUUUUGCCGUUAAAAACAAACAAUUUUUUUUGGAAGUUUCUAAAACAUGGCAAUCUUGCCAUCCUUAAAAUAGUUUGCCACCAUUUUCUUCAAAUGUAUGCUAGAUUUUAUUUCUCUAAACGACAAACUUAUUAUAUGGACCAUGGCAAGUUUAAUAUAGCCUGAUGCAUGAAAUGAAUCUGUAGAUGCACUCGUGCUAGCUGCCAUUGGAACAUGGCAAAUUUGUAGAUAAUGUCGAAGAUGGAAAACUUGAGUAGAAUAUGACUUUUUUUUUUGUGCACAACAUGGCAAAUUAUCAAACAAGUUUUAGUAGAUUUCCCAUUCCUACUAUUUAGUGUACUUAGAUUCCUGACUCACUUGAGUUGAUGCUGAGUAGAACAUGACAAUUUUUUUCAAAAUGUCAUAGGUGGCAAACUGACUAGAACGUGACAUUUGUUUUCAUUCUCUACCAUGGCAAAUUUAUUUUGAUGGAUCAUGGCAACUUUUUUACUCCAUUUUUUUUGCCAUGGCAAAUUUAAUUCCAUUUAUGCCAUGGAAAAAUUCUUUAAUUAACAUGUUCACAAACAUGCAAACUUGCCAUGGCAAAGUUGUAGGUGUUCAAAACCAUGGCAAACUUUGCCAUGACAACUUAAGGUGUUAAAAUACAUGCCAUGAUCUUGUAGAUGUUCAAAAAUUUAGGAAACUUGCCAUGGCAUUUUAAAAUGUUCAAAAACAUGGCAACCUUUAAUAUGUGCAAAAACAUAGUAAGUUCUUUUAAUUAACUUUGUUCAAAAACAUGACAAACUUCUUUAAAUAACUUGUUGAAAAACAUGCAAACUUGCCAUGGCAACUAAAGAUGUUCAAAAACAUGGCAACAUUAUAGAUGUUUAAAAACAUUUGCAAACUUGCCAUGGCAAUGUAAGAUGUCAAAAACAUUUGCAAACUUGCCAUGGCAAAGUUAAUAUGUGCAAAAACAUGGCAACGUUUUUUUUAAUUAAGUUUGUACAAACACAUGGCAAACUUCUUUCACUAAGAUGUUCAAAAAAUAUAGCAAACUUGCCAUGGCAACAAAAGAUGUUCAAAAAUAUGGUAACCUAAGAUGUACAAAAACUUGGCAAACUUGCCACGGCAACUUCUUCCUUUUUUGUGAACUUCGUAGUGUUGGCAACUUUUUGUAUUGUAAAGAUGCAGAUUUGCUAUGACUUCUUCCUUUUUACGCCAUUUAUGAAAACAUAAACUUGAACAUGGCAAUUUCUUUAAUAGAAUGGCAAAAGACCAUGGAAAUUUUGCCGUGCAGAAGUCUAGUAGUUCAUUAGUUUACAGAAAAACUAUUGCUAAAAAAAGGUACAGAAAAACUGGGCGUUUUUACUAGUCAUAACUUAACAUGGGCCUUUUUUCACAGAAAAAAGGCCUGUAGGGCCCGGUGGAUGGGGCGUUCGCGCUGGUUCGUUCUUCUCCCGAACGAAAUCGUUCGGUCGAUGCCCCUGCCCUCCCGAACGAGUCGUUCGGGCCGGGGUGUCUACAGCCCGAACGUCCGGUACUUAUCGGCGUCCUCAGAUUUUCGCAUUUGCUGACAAUAGCUUAUAUAUAUGGUAUAUGUGUCUUGGAAUCUUGGUAGUGAUUUAGUGGUUCUUCCUGUUAAGUUGUGCAUAUGAGGUACAACUCUUUCUCCACCUGGGCCUUACAGGUCAUAAUACCUUUACAAGUACCAUGCUAAUAAAAAAUUCUUGAUUAAGUCUAUUAUUUUUUCCGUUGCACUAUACUUUAUUUUAAUUCCAUUGCUCUCCAUUAUUUUGGUAUCAAGGUCUAAAAAUGCAUGUUCUAGUACAAUAUUUGUUUUUUCGAAUGCUGUCUUUUUUGCUAAUAAAUAUAUGGUCCAAUCUGGAUUCAAAAUCUAAGAAAUUUAUGGCCUUGCGUAAAUAGUUGCAGUUACACUAUGAUGGAUUGUGUCUACUUUUCUUGAAUGGAAAACAGAGAAGCCGAGAUUCAGUCAUUAGUCGAUACAACAAUGUCCUCCGUGAAAUUGUGAUUCGGGCGAGCCUAGCUUAGCUUGGGACCACUGGAGAUUGUGUGGUGCAAGGGAGACAGACUCCAACGGAUAUUGUGUCGUGCUCAAUGACAGCAACAACAUGGAUAGUGAGGUCAUUGCCCUACAUGAUUGCCCUGUUUCCAAUCUGUUGGGUAGUCCUAUUUGGUUGAUUGUAUCUAUAGUAUGUUGAAAGCAGAUGUAACCUCGUUGAUUUUCACAUUAGAGGCCUCUUCAGUAUAUCUGAUCUUCUGUACGAGGAGCCUACAGUUUGUAAUGUUCUAUUUCUUUUGUGAAACCCCCACAACCUGUCUAUGAACCAUAUGCAUUAGACAUUCCCACAUGUAUUAAUUCUUUUUUUGAAAGGAAUGCUAAAAUUCUUAUGUUCAACUAUAAUUUAAAAUAUCCAGUCCUUUCAGCAC
rnacentral:lncRNA from 1 species